GCGACACAACCAGCAAUGCGGAAAAUAAGUAUUGACAAACUGCGAUAAGAGCGAGAAGCAGGAGGGGGCCCGCAAACAGGAGCACCCGUGACGUCAAGGGUCACGUGACGGGGCUGGUGGUGGUGGAGGAAGGGCUAGUCAGUCUGACCACGCACGCUCCAGGAAGUUGUAUCACGAUGUUUCUUGUUGAACAGUGUCGUUUGUGUGCUUAUUAACGCGUUCUGAUUAGUGAUUCUGGGUGCGUUAUCGUCGCGGCGGUGUAGGGAUUCGAGUGAUGUGCCAGAGUGAUCGUCAAAGGGGGUCAAAGGGCUUCGCGCAGGCGCAGUACAAUAGGCUGGUUAGGCUGUCAACCGCCUGCCCCUGCCGCCCCGCCUGCCGCCCCGGCCUGCCCGUCGCCGGUUCGUUAGGGUGUGAGUGAGGGGCGCAGGGAGUGACCCAGACGGACUCCCGCGGAGAGCGAUAGAAAAAUAAGUGAUCAGCGUGGAAUGUGCCUCAGCCCGCAGUGAUGAGCUGGGCACCUCGACACUGCUGGCCUCGCCCUGAUGACAGGUAAGCCCCCUCAUUCCCUCACCUGUGGCCUCACACCACCUCAGCUCUGACCUAACACUCCCCUUCAUCCUUGUGCCGCUGCUGCUGGACACUUAAGACUCAGUGUUUGACUUAAUCGUAUUAUAUUUAUACAUUGUAAUAUGGGACCUUGUAUAAUGAGCUGAGUUUGUGUGAGGUCAGUAUUUAUAUUAUAAUGUAACUAUUUUAGUUUUAUUUAAUUUUUCUCGUGUAAAUGUUCAGUAUUAUGUGUAACACAACGAUUCCUAUGUGCAUUUUUUGUUGUAUGUGUAGACCGUGUUCUGCUUUAGGUGAGCAUUGCAGGAGUCUCAGUAUGGAUCCUGCGGAAAUAUUUCAUUUAAACAUAUUUUUUUCGUGAUGAUUUGUGGUACUUGUUUGCGUGACGGAGAGCUGUGGGCGGGAGGCGUGGUGGUCGCGGUCCUGGUCGUGGCGGGUCGAUGUGUUGACCAAGUGGCGGCCGCAGCGCCCCACCGCCGCCCCGCUCCGGCAAUGUUUGUACGCGGCUCGGGGAUAAGUGAUCGCUUGAUGUACAUUGGGCGACCUCGGAACCAACGCUUGGGCUCGGGAGUGUGAAAUAGAUGCGGGCGAGCUUGCCACAAAUGAGUUUAAGCAGAAGUUGGUCAUCAAUACGCUUGAGUUAUUAAUGUAAUUAAGGUAUUAAUGUUGGAAAUACCGCAAUUAGCUUAGUUAGGCGGUGGCUGAGUGAUUAGCGAGCGGGCCCCCCAUUCACCGCACCAUGGACGACAUCGGUUCGAAUCCGCUCGCUACCACCUGGGAUUUCAGUCACCGCCAAGUGGCUUGACUACCCACAUGCUGUCCAUGAGACCGCCCAUCAACCCGGACUCAUGAAGAAACCGUCCAAGUGUAUCAAGAAUGAGUUCCGGGGUUCAGCAUGAGCCAAGCAUAAAUGGCGCCACUAUAAAACAAAUUGCCUGCGCCAUGACGGGCUUGGGCCGAUCACCAGGCCUUUGAAGAAAGCCUACCGGCGCUACAGGCGAAGUAAAAAAAAAAAAAAAAAAAAAAAAAAAAAAAGAAAAGAAAGAA